ensembl:misc_RNA 7SK 7SK RNA
GAAUGUGAGGGCAAUCUGGUGCGACAUCUGUCACCCCAUUGAUCGCCAGGGUUGAUUCGGCUGAUCUGGCUGGCUAGGCGGGUGUCCCCUUCCUCCCUCACCGCUCUAUGUGCGUCCCUCCCGAAGCUGCGUGCUCAGUCGAAGAGGAUGACCUUCCCCGAAAGAGGAGGACCGUUCUUUGGUCAAGGGUAUACAAGUAGCUGCGCUCCCCUGCUAGAACCUCCAAACAAGCUCUCAGAUGAGGCAAGGGGUCAGGUUUCAGGGGGCUGAGUCUAUCUUCAUGAUGUCCACGGUCAGCAGGUUGACUGACACCUGGGUAGGCCACACC